AUAUUAGUCAAUGCUCGUAAGAGUGAACUAGCUAACUGAAAUCAUAUUUGUGUCAAAUAUGAUGUCGUAAGGGAAAAUAAUGAUAUUACCUUACUAAUAGUGCCGUCUAAAAUUGGUGCCAGAAGACUCGGUAAGGCCUAAGGCGCAAACGUUAAUCAUCUUAAUCAGGCGUAAAGGGUAUGUAGGCUGCUUUAAAUGAUUAAUUUAAGAUAGCUAAUUUAAAUUAAUAGUAAUUAAAGCUAGAAUCUAAUAGAAGAUAAAACAAUUUUUAGAGGAGGGCUGAGAUCCGUAGAUACUAAAGAGAGAUACUAAUUGCGUAAGCUUUUAUCUAAUAAAGAUUGACGCUGAGAAACGAAGGUGAGGAUAGGAAUUAGGAUUAGAGACCCAGGUACCCCUCUCUGUAAACGAUGAAUGGUAGUUAUUAAAUUUAAUUUAGUGGCGAUGUUAACACGAUAACCAUUCCGCCUUGUAAGUACGACUGCAAAGUUGAAAACAAAAAAAUUAGUCGGUUUCGGAGCAAACGAAGUGAAGUAUGUUAUUUAAU
rnacentral:rRNA from 1 species